AAUAGAAUCUUGAACACUUGUUCUUCUUCUAAAUUGAAUAGCUUGUUCUGAUUUUUUUUGGUCAAAAUGUUUAUUGAAAAUUUUAAGGUGGAAAGCCCAAAUGUGAAGUAUAUUGAGAAUGAAAUUCAUUCUGUGUAUGAUUAUGAAACCACAGAGCUUGUUCAUGAAGAGAGAAAUGGAACUUAUCAAUGGAUUGUUAAGCCUAAAACUGUCAAAUAUGAAUUUAAAACUGAUACCCAUGUGCCAAAAUUGGGGGUUAUGCUUGUUGGAUGGGGAGGAAACAAUGGUUCAACAUUGACUGGAGGUGUUAUUGCGAAUCGAGAAGGAAUUUCAUGGGCAACGAAAGAAAAAGUGCAACAAGCCAAUUAUUUUGGGUCUCUUACUCAGGCAUCAACCAUUCGAGUUGGGUCUUUCAAUGGCGAAGAGAUCUAUGCACCCUUCAAAAGCCUCCUUCCCAUGGUCAACCCAGACGAUGUAGUAUUUGGAGGAUGGGACAUUAGCAACAUGAAUUUGGCAGAUGCUAUGGUCAGGGCUAAGGUUUUCGAAGUUGAUCUGCAAAAGCAGCUGAGGCCCUACAUGGAAUCCAUGGUUCCCCUUCCUGGUAUCUAUGACCCUGACUUCAUUGCGGCUAACCAAGA
rnacentral:misc_RNA from 1 species